rnacentral:lncRNA from 1 species
UAAAUGUACCUGUACCUAAUAUUUUUUUUGUUGUAUUUGUGAACCAGGUGUUCCAGGUGACAUAAAAAUGAAGAUAUCCAUUGGUCUAAGGAAGUCAUGAGGGGAAGGAGGCUGAUGGUCGCCCGGAGACUCCGCACCUACGGAGAGUGACGUCCUGCUGCAGUGCCGCUGCCUACCUACGCUGACUGAGCUUGUCAAUGGAGCUGGAAAACAUCGUUGCCAACACCGUCUUGCUGAAAGCCAGGGAAGCUUGCCUUUGCAGGAUGAUCACAGAAGAGAUUUGUGCAUGUCCUUAUUGGCAAAAGACUAGCAAUAAAUCCUAAACAAGAAGCAUGGUUGCUUUCCAAGAACUUGGCUGUAGAACAACUGGAAAAAGGGCACUAGAACAAUGAAGAGCAUAUUUGAAGGAAAGAAGGUGACUAUAGCGACAGCCAAAACCCCAUGGAGAAUAUGAUUAUUGCAGCUUGACUUUGGCAACUUUAUAAACCACUGCUUCUGAAUGUAGAAUCUAAAGUCCUGUCCUGUAUCCCUUGAUAUAAAAGCAAAGUGCUUUGUAAGGAAAACAUUGUCUCUAUAAGCAGAGGAAAUUCGCACGCAGUGACUCAGUUUAGUUUUCUUUUCUGAGCUCAAGAGGAGCUCUCACCACUGAAAUAGCCCCCCCCCCCCAAAAAAAAUCCAAGAAUGGAAUCAGCUAUUACUUCAAAUGAAACAGGGUGCUUUCAAACUCUAGUUUAAAAAUGGGAUUCCUUUUCAAGCAUGUAAUCAUUUCUUUUUUGGGGGGGAAAAAAAAGUCCUAGAGAGUUCUGAAUAUUUCAUGACAGUCUAAUAGAGGAAAUUUGGGAAACUGGAGUCUUCAGGCCUUUGCGAAAAGAACACGUAAAUCUGCAUGACAUAAAGAUCUCCUUUUAUUAUGCAGAAGGAACUUAUUUCUGUAGCCAUCCAUACCUGAGCAGUGACAAGUGUGUGUGGGGCGAACUCUUUUUAAAUCCCCCCCUUUAAAAACAAAAAAAAACAAAAAACCAACACUUAUAUAGUAGGGCUGCUGCAGAGCAAGUUAGAGCAGCUGUAGCUGUGCCUGUCAUGGGCACUCUGUUCCUCGUCUGGGGUUCUCCCUGGGGCCAACCGCACCAGUUUAUGGUCCUAGGCAGCAGGUCUUGGGAUAUGGCAACGCUGGGGAAGCCAAGAGCUCUUC